rnacentral:rRNA from 1 species
GCGGCGUGCCUAAUACAUGCAAGUCGAGCGAACAGAUAAGGAGCUUGCUCCUUUGACGUUAGCGGCGGACGGGUGAGUAACACGUGGGUAACCUACCUAUAAGACUGGAAUAACUCCGGGAAACCGGGGCUAAUGCCGGAUAACAUAUAGAACCGCAUGGUUCUAUAGUGAAAGAUGGUUUUGCUAUCACUUAUAGAUGGACCCGCGCCGUAUUAGCUAGUUGGUAAGGUAAUGGCUUACCAAGGCGACGAUACGUAGCCGACCUGAGAGGGUGAUCGGCCACACUGGAACUGAGACACGGUCCAGACUCCUACGGGAGGCAGCAGUAGGGAAUCUUCCGCAAUGGGCGAAAGCCUGACGGAGCAACGCCGCGUGAGUGAUGAAGGGUUUCGGCUCGUAAAACUCUGUUAUUAGGGAAGAACAUAUGUGUAAGUAACUGUGCACAUCUG